CCAAUGCCCUUUCUUGUCUGUUUCAGAAUCCUUGGUGACAGGAGUAUCAGAACCUAGAGAAGAAACUCAAGACAUUAGAGAUUGCAGACUUGUGGAAUUCAUCAGGCAACAUCACAAACCUUGAAAAACUUCGACAAGAGUGCAGUGAAGUGAAAAGACUGGUCCCAAUGCAGCAGUCAGAGUCCUCAGACACAUCAGAACACUUUCAGGAUAUUGUAUCUGAUCAUGGUUCAGAUCUUUUAUCUCGGACCCCAAGUGCAGGCCCAAGUCCAACUCACAGGCCCUACUCAGAAGUAGACACUUUGGAAAUGGAGGCAGAUCUGGACUUGCUGCCAACCAAAGAAGAAGUGUGAAACAUAUCAGGGAAAAUGCAAACAUUACCCUUGCUGUCAAAAGAGUUACGAAUGGAAUGGAAGGUAGUGAUUUCUGCCCAAGAUGAUGAAACCAGUGAAGAUGGUGAAACUUUGGAAUCUGAACAUCUGCUUCUAAAUGGUAGUACUGAAGAUGAAGAAACUGCUGUGCACUUACAAAAUUUCAUGGAUAGUUUGACUACAAGACUUCUUGAAAGGACUCGGAGUAGCAGAGCAGCAGCAUCCUUGGAGCACAGUGCACAUGGUAAACAUGAAGAAAAGGAGGUAAAAGUCUCAAAGGGUGGCGACUCCUUUGGUUUGAUAACACAGAGUGGCGAUCCAGUUGCUUCCUUGGCUAAACAGUCCUUGUUACAAGAAAUGUCAGAACCUACUCAGGAACAUUUGUCUGAUCAAAAGAGUGUGGAGUGUUAAACAUGGGAUACUGAGGGUUGGAGUUGUCGUAACUUUAGACAUUUAGAAAAAAGCUUUGUUUCCAGUUGGGUGGGUUAAUUUUAUGCAUUUAUCCAGGGUUUCCCCUUCAAACUUUGUUCAGAAUGUUUUGUAUUGUGACUGCAAUAAACUAGUCUGUUUUCAUGAUGCAAUCAUAGUGUGGGACACAAAAUAGGUAUUUGAACUUACCAAGCACAUACAAACAUGCAUGAAUUCUCAUGUCACAUUUUACAUUGUAUUAACUGAUCUAGUUGCUUUACAAUUUGUUUGUUUUUGCGUUUUUUUUUUUUUUGUUUUUGGUUGGUUUUGCAUGAGUUAGACUCUUUUAUGAAGAUUUUUUUUUUUUGCCUGGUAUUUUGGUUUCUACAGAUUUAUUUGCCCCACAAAAAAGACCUUGCCUAUAUUUUAUUUUUUUUCUAAAACAUUUAUUAUAGAGAGCAUAUUAUAUUUUUGGAUUGCUGUUGCAAGUUAAAACUGCUAAAGCAGAGUUCCUGAGAAAUAGGCUUUGAAGGGUAGUCUCCAUUUUCAGUGUUCCCACAGGUAUAUUCUUGUGUGUGGAUGGGGAAUUUGUAGUCUGGUGGUUUCCAUGCUGAAAUUAAAAGCCCACCUAGCACCAUAAGGCUAAAAAUCAGGUGGCAGAAGUUUGGGCUUUCCCUUUCAAGUGCUAUGUCCUCCACACACAAGGAGCAAGCAACAGUCGACCGCCGCUUAGGCUAUUGUUCUUUUACUUGUUAUUUCUGAGAUGUGUUUUGUCUCAUUUGGGUAUAUCUUGCUACAAGAAACUCUCCAUGGCAGACAUUUUUGUAUUCUUUAAUUUGUACAGUUAUUUCACUACAUUAUGCAUUUAAAUCAGCUGGGUCUUCAACACACUUGCUCUAAGCUACUUAAUCUUAUUUUGUGUUUCGUCCUUGUGUGUGUAUGCACAUGCAUGUAUGGACUGCUUUCAUGUUGUACUCAUAGGCAUAAGUACAUGCAUGCGUGUGCUGUUUUGUGUAUGUGCUAACAUACACUUGUGUGAAUGUCUAAUUCAUUAUGUGUGGAUGAGUGUUAGUACUUCUUGUGGUUGAAUACACAAAACCACUUCUGUGAUAAAAGUACUGACAUGACCAUAACAUUUUGCUGUUUAAAAAUACUUGCAUUGUGAUAUUUGGGGGUCAUUGCAGAUCUGAAUUAUAUUUAGUUGUGGAUUUAUUCCUCAUUAAAAUUUUUCUCAUGUCCUCUUGUCA